GUGGCAGACAAUAUUAUAUUCAAGUUCUGGAAACAACUUUAGGAUUUAAUGACUGAACAAACAUUUUUUGAAGUGCUAAUGUUCUGAAUCUCCCUCCAUACUCAGCCUGUACCUGAAUUUAAAUGUAUAUUUAGUCUGUAAAUGAAUAUACAUUUACAUUCAGCCUGUAAAUUAAUUACCUUUUACCAAACACCAUAAGCCAACUUCAGUGACCUGAUUGUGGGGAACCAAAACCUGGAAAAGUCUUUGCACUCCUGGAAUUGCUAGUGCUCGGGGUACAAGGAUGUAACAUCAUGCUCUAAUAAGCACCAUAUUUGAUCAAUAUGAACAGUGCAAAUGUUGACCACUACCAAGGCUUUUCUGUGAUCCUCCCACUUUUGCAUAUGGAUACAUUAAUCCAAAAUGCAAUUACUUUUAGAUAACUGAAUAUUUUCAGCAUUUUCAUUUUUUAAAAAAGGUUGACAAGAUAAAAAAUACAACUGUUAGAAAAGAAACAAAUGAAAUAAAGUAUAGUGAAUAAGUUUUAUACCACUUUUAUGAUAUAAAAUUAUCAUAAAACAAUUUAUGAUAUAAUGCAAAUGUCACAAAACAUUUCCUGUGCUGAAAAGUUUGUGCUAAAAAGUUCAAUGUGCCAUUUUCAAGACAGAUACAUUUUCUCAUUGUAUCCUAACUUUCCCACUGAAGGCAGUACAUUAGAAGUUCUGUCACUGCUGAAAGUACUGAGGAAUCUAGUAAAGAAAUAUCUCUGAAACGAUGACCCAAGGAGUCGUGGAUUGUCUAGUUGUAAACUAAACCCCUCUGCAGUAGUCCUCUCUUCAUCUCAUAUUCUCCAUGUUCCUGUUCCAACAAUUCUCAGUAAGAUAACCAUCUUUUACUUAUUGUUUCUUUCCUGUAAAAUGCUUCAUGUGUUGAGACCCCUAAAGACAAUUUAAGCACAAUUUGGAUUUAGAUCUAUUCCCAAUAUGGCACUUCUGAUAUAAUGAUUCUUAAAAUCUACUUUUACCUUAACCGUAUUGUGCCAUAAGAACAUGGCACAAUGUUUUUUUUACAACCUCAGAUCAUGCCCGUCUGAUUUUAAAAUUACCUUAUUUUUAGCAAAACCCAUGUUAUUUUUUUUUAAUUUAUCAAAUAAAUAAUGCAUAUCUGUGUACAUAUUCAACACAGUAUCCUUAGAGAAUACCAUUGCCAUCUUGUCAGGUGAUUUGUUUGCUUAUUCAGCUUAACAGAAACUCAUUGAGCAAUGAAUGAUGAUAAUUUAAAAAAAAAGUUAGGUGAUGAAAGGUCUCUGAAUGAGUCAUGCCAAAUAUUAAAAACCUUGUUGUUGAAAUAAAUGAUUUAGCAACCUAUGUCUCAAUAAAAGAGUUCCAUGCUGCCCUGUUUCAUAAUUUAGCAGCCCAGCUUUUCCAAAGCACCCGAAGGCCAGAUAAGGAACAAUGGAUGGAAACAGAUCAAGGAAAGAUGCAACCUAGAAAUGAGAAAUUUUCUGACGUGAGAACAAUCAACCAAUGAAACAGCUUGCCUUCAGAAAUUGCGGGUGCUUCAUCAUUGGGGGCUUUCAAGAAGAGACUGAACAGCCACUUGACAAAAAUGGCACUACAGGGUCUCUUGCUUGAGCAGGGAGUUGGACUAGAUGAUCUACAAAGUCCCUUCCAACUCUGUUAUUCUGUUCUGUUAUUCUGUUAAGAGAGGAGAGAACGUGCUUCUGCCUUCAAUACCGGUGGUAGUAAAAGGGGGAGCCUUUUCUUUUUUUAGUCAUGAUUCGAAUAGUAAAUCUCAUUUCCUUCGUAGUAAUAUCGAAAGGGUUAACCCCCCCUUUGCUGACGUAUUGGAUGCCUUAGCAGCAAGAGUUCUGGGAGUCGUAGGCUCUAGUAGUUUCCUGUGUUUAAUGGCUCCUCGCUGUUAAGGUGGUUUUUUACAAAAAAAUAUUGCAUUCUUACAUAUUUGCCCCGCAUUCUUUGUCACAUCCUAAGUUGAAGAUUACAGUGAUACAGAAUUAAAAUGAUGCUCCUGAAUUGGAAGGCACUGGAACAUUUUCCACUACUAAUGUACAUUUUAGCUGCUAAAACAUUAAUUCUUUGCUUAGCGUUUGCUGGGGUAAAAAUAUAUCAAAGGAAAAGACUUGAAAAGAAGCUGAAAAAGGAACAAGAAGAAAAGCAGAAAAGAGAACUGGAGAAAAAAGAAAAGUAAAGAUCUAAAGGAGUGUAAAUUCCCAGAGUCUAUGAUGUAAGAGGCAUCUAAGUCUGAUAAACAAACCAACAAAUAAAUGCUACAAGAAAAAUGAGAAUGGAUUUAAAUGGGCAUUUAGGAAGAGUACAAAAAGCAAGCAGGAGCUCAAGGAGGUCUACAUAAACUUCCAUCUCCAUAUUUUCUAAAACAACCAGGAGGAAAUUACAAACAACUAGCAGCAUUGAAUAGAAAAAAAACUAGAGGACCAAUGUAAAUAAUAAGAAACUGGUAGUUUAAUGUUAUAGCAUUAAUAAAUGCCUUAGGCUUAAAUAUCAUACUGGUUUUUCAUACAGGUUCAGAAUAUGUAUGUAACAAAAGUUUGAUGAGCUGGAAUAGAAUUAUACCUCUCGCUUUACUUUCAGUCCGUUUAUAUUUUUCAAAAACCAGAUUUGCACAACUGUUUAAUGUAUAAACUCUUCACUGGCCAUGGGUAAGGGUAAAUGAGAAGAUCAGAUUAACCCCCUUCUACAACCUGACAUUUCUACGAGGGCAAUUCAGAAAUAAAUCCCCAUUUGGUUAUCAAUGACAGACACUCGCAGAUACAGAACUUUUA